UACGGGGGGGGGCAAGCGUUGUUCGGAAUUACUGGGCGUAAAGGGCUCGUAGGCGGCCAACUAAGUCAGACGUGAAAUCCCCAGGCUCAACCUGGGAACUGCGUCUGAUACUGGAUGGCUUGAAUUCGGGAGAGGGAUGCAGAAUUCCAGGUGUAGCGGUGAAAUGCGUAGAUAUCUGGAGGAAUACCGGUGGCGAAGGCGGCACUCUGGGCUGGUACUGACGCUGAGGAGCGAAAGCGUGGGUAGCAAACAGG
rnacentral:rRNA from 1 species